CCGCGGGCAGCGCCGGGGCCGGUAUGGGCGGGCACGGACCUGCCGGCGGCACACGGCCGGAGAGCAGCGAUCGGAGCUCGGUUCUUGACUUGAGGUUCUUGGGGCCUCCUUGUGGACAUUUCUGCUCCUCCUAACAAGCAGGGUAUUACAGGUAACGGAAAGGAAACACAUCCCUAGUUGAUGAAGGAUGCAGUACCAAGCCGAAGACAUUUUAUACAAGGUUUGUGAGUAGCAGACACUUGGUUUUCUGUGGAACUCCUGCAACUGCAGGCUCGGGGUGAUGGGAAAGAGGAGCGACCCAGGACAGCACCACCGAGUCACCCCCACCGUGCCACCGCCGGCACUGGGGAAAGAGGAGAUGGAGGCACUGAGUCUGCAGAUCCUACUCGUCUGAACUUCAGACUUCAUUUCACAAGGAGACCAUGUACAGAAAGAAUCAACUCAAAGAACUUACAAAUUACUAAGUGUCCCACUGGCAAUAAAAUUGUCACAGAGUUUAAUACAAUCACCCACAGAAUUUAAUACAAAAGUUGUCGCGUUUUUCUGGCAA